GAUUAACGUUGGCGGUAUGUAUAAUACAUGCAAGUCGAGCGCCCGUAGCAAUACGGGAGCGGCAGACGGGUGAGUAACACGUUGGGAACUACCUCGAACUCAGGGAUAACCCGCCGAAAGGCGUGGUCAAUACCGGAUGGUCCCGCAAGGGUAAAGAUUUUUCGGUUCGAGAGGUGCCUGCGGCUUAUCAGCUAGUUGGUGAGGUAAUGGCUCACCAAGGCUAUGACGAGUAGCUGGUCUGAGAGGAUGAUCAGCCACAAUGGGACUGAGAAAAGGCCCAUACUCCUACGGGAGGCAGCAGUAGAGAAUAUUUCGCAAUGGGGGAAACCCUGACGAAGCGAUACCGCGUGAAUGAUGAAGGUCGAAAGAUUGUAAAAUUCUUUUCUGGGGGAAUAAUUCUGAAGGUACCUCAGGAAUAAGCACCGGCUAACUCCGUGCCAGCCGCCGCCGUAA
rnacentral:rRNA from 1 species